CUUGCACCUUUCAAGCGAGUGGCGAACGGGUGAGUAACACGUGGAUAACCUGCCUCAAGGCUGGGGAUAACAUUUGGAAACAGAUGCUAAUACCGAAUAAAACUUAGUAUCGCAUGAUACAAAGUUGAAAGGCGCUACGGCGUCACCUAGAGAUGGGUCCGCGGUGCAUUAGUUAGUUGGUGGGGUAAAGGCCUACCAAGACAAUGAUGCAUAGCCGAGUUGAGAGACUGAUCGGCCACAUUGGGACUGAGACACGGCCCAAACUCCUACGGGAGGCUGCAGUAGGGAAUCUUCCACAAUGGGCGAAAGCCUGAUGGAGCAACGCCGCGUGUGUGAUGAAGGCUUUAGGGUCGUAAAGCACUGUUGUAUGGGAAGAAAUGCUAGAAUAGGGAAUGAUUCUAGUUCGACGGUACCAUACCAGAAAGGGACGGCUAAAUACGUGCCAGCAGCCGCGGUAAUACGUAUGUCCCGAGCGUUAUCCGGAUUUAUUGGGCGUAAAGCGAGCGCAGACGGUUGAUUAAGUCUGAUGUGAAAGCCCGGAGCUCAACUCCGGAAUGGCAUUGGAAACUGGUUAACUUGAGUGUUGUAGAGGUAAGUGGAACUCCUGGGGAAAC
rnacentral:rRNA from 1 species